UCUAAGAAAAUUGCGCCAGUAGUUCUCUGGAAGACUUCUCCAGGGAUUUAUCGAAAGGUUUCCAAGUGUUUAUCCGAAAAUUAUUUAAGGAAUUCUUAAAAGGAGUCGUUCAGGAAUUUCCUUUUUAACUGAAUUUAAAAAUGGAACAACACAAAGGGACAGGUCAUAAUUGUCGAAUUGUUCCUGUGAUUUCAAAACUUGUUACUGUUGUGCUAUUGCUGAUAAGUUGAUCAAUAGUACAACAAUAACUAAACUUGUAC